CAGUCGCCGCGGGAAUACGGAGGGUGCAAGCGUUAUCCGGAUUCACUGGGUUUAAAGGGUGCGUAGGCGGAUCUGUAAGUCAGUGGUGAAAUCUCCAGGCUUAACCUGGAAACUGCCGUUGAUACUAUAGGUCUUGAAUUUUGUGGAGGUUAGCGGAAUAUGUCAUGUAGCGGUGAAAUGCAUAGAUAUGACAUAGAACACCAAUUGCGAAGGCAGCUGGCUACACAACUAUUGACGCUGAGGCACGAAGGCGUGGGGAUCAAACAGGAUUAGAUACCCGAGUAGUCCCUGUCUCUUAUAC
rnacentral:rRNA from 1 species